UACGGUGGGUGCAAGCGUUAUCCGGAUUUAUUGGGUUUAAAGGGUGCGUAGGCGGUACUAUAAGCCAGUGGUGAAAUCCUGCAGCUUAACUGUAGAUGUGCCAUUGAAACUGUAGUACUUGAGUUAUCUUGAGGUAGGCGGAAUGUGUAGUGUAGCGGUGGAAUGCAUAGAUAUGUCACAGAACACCAAUUGCGAAGGCAGCUUACUAUGGUGUCAUUGACGCUGAGGCACGAAAGCGUGGGGAGCAAACAGG
rnacentral:rRNA from 1 species